CGCUCGCGCUGCUCCCCGCCUGGGAGCGAGAUUAGGUUGCAAUUUUUCUUUUAAAAAGAGUUUCACACGUCAAAAAGAAGUUGCUUCUUAAAAUUUUCUUCAUAGCAUGUCUUUACGAAACGCAAAUCGUGAAAGAUGCUGUUUCGCAGGUUUCGAAACUAACCUUGUACGCGUUUUCUAGACAAAUGCGCUUUUCCGUCUAGCAACGUUGGCUCAAUUUGAGCGAUGGCUCCUGGCCUCUUUCUUUUCGUUUCGCUCGUUGGCGUCCCUCGCUUGUGGACAUAUUUGGCGUCAUGUGAGUUUCGACGUCUCCUUCAUUGUGAAAACUCGGGAGAAGCUUGAACUAGGAUUCACUGAAGACAAGAAACGAAUGCUUAUCUGGGUUCAACAAGAAUGAAAAGGUAUUCGAGUGAGUGGCCGACUCCGGUGCCGUGUCCACACGCCUCAACGAGAAAGUUUAAAAUCCUCAUAGGAUCUUCCUACGGGACUCUAGUAACGAAAAAGCGCUUGUAACUCCCGAUGCGGAAGGAAAAUGACUACGAAUUGAAGCGGUGCUCAAAGCAGGAAGGGGACUGCUUUGUCAGCCAGUAAAUGCGGUCUGGGCUGGACAUAAUUUCCAGGCAAGUAAACGAGCAUUGUCAUGUUGUGCCCCCUGUCCACAGUGAUGUGCCCCCCAUCUACAGUGGCAGUUGCACUGAUCUUCUCAACAUCGCCCCCUGGCUCGCACGACUGGCAGAGCAGCAAGGAUGGCUCGUUCUCCCUAGGUUAUGUGAUGCUGUGCACGGAGUGAUAAUUUUAACUACCCGACGAGUAUGGUGCCUGGAGCAAGUCUUCGACUGGUGUGUUUAGCGUCCUUUGCUGCCCGUACAUCAAAAGUGGUCCGA